rnacentral:rRNA from 1 species
AGGAGAAGCCCGGAGAUGGGUACUGAGACACGGACCCAGGCCCUAUGGGGCGCAGCAGGCGAGAAAACUUUGCAAUGUGCGAAAGCACGACAAGGUUAAUCCGAGUGGUUUCUGCUAAAGAAACCUUUUGUCAGUCCUAGAAACACUAACGAAUAAGGGGUGGGCAAGUUCUGGUGUCAGCCGCCGCGG